rnacentral:lncRNA from 1 species
CUCCCCCCAGCCCGGCUAAGGGGCUCCGGCGCUCCCCGCUCCGCUCCCGCCGCCRCCUCCUCCUCCCCGGCGCGGGCCCCUCCGAGCCUCCCUCCCGGCGGUGGGGCUGACAGCGGCUCCCUCCCGUCACACGUGGGACAACGGGACCUGCUUGUGGUAGGGGGCCAGGCUGGGCAGCGCCGUCCUGCCGGCCAGCGCGGGGCUGGCCUCGCCGCACACGGAGGCGCCCGCCGGCUUCCUGCCCCGGCAGCAGCGGGCCGAGAAGCGCCUCCAGGACUCCAGGGUCUUGCCGGACCAGAUCCAGACGCCGGAGGUGAUGCCCACCACGAGGCACAUGAAGUACUUGAGCAUGAAGAUGGCGUAGUCGGGCUUGGGGCGGUGGGGGUCGCCCGGGCAGGAGCAGUUCUGCGCCCGCUCCCAGGCCUCCCGGUUGUGCUGCUCGUAGAUGUAGCAGGCGAUGACGAUGGUGGCCGGCACGGUGUAGAGCACGGUGAAGAUGCCGAUGCGGAUCAUCAGCUUCUCCAGCUUGUCCGUCUUGGUGCCGCCCUGCUUGAUCACGCUGCGGAUGCGAAACAGCGAGACGAAGCCGGCCAGCAGGAAGAGGCUGCCGGUGAAGAGAUAAACCACCARCGGCGCCAGCACAAAGCCCCGCAGGUUCUCCAGGCUCUGGUUGCCCACGUAGCAAACCCCGGCCACCGGGUCGCCGUCCACAGAGCUGAGGGCCAGCACGGCGAUGGACUUGGCGCUGGGGAUGAGCCAGGCGGCCAGGUGGAAGUACUGCGCGUAGCCGGCGAUGGCCUCGUUGCCCCACUUCAUGCCGGCAGCCAGGAACCAGGUGAGGGAGAGGAUGACCCACCAGAUGGAGCUGGCCAUGCCGAAGAAGUAGAGGAGGAGGAAGACCACGGUGCAGAGCGCGGGGCCUGUGGUCUCGUAGUGGACGUGGUGGUGCUCGGGGUUGCAGGCCACGCUGGCAUGCCCUGCCACCAGCCGCACGAUGUAGCCCACGGAGACGAAGAGGUAGCACGCGGAGAGGAAGAUGAUGGGGCGCUCGGGGUACUUGAAGCGCUCCAUGUCGAUGAGGAAGGUGGCCACGGUGGUAGAGGUGGAGAGGAAACAGAGGAUGGACCAGAGGCCGAUCCAGAAGGUGGCGAAGGUCUUCUCGUCCUGGGUGAAGUAGGGCUGGUAGCAGGGGAUGGCGCAGUUGGGCACCUGCCCCGUGCGGAUGCGGUUGUAGAGCGGGUGCGACUCCUUGGAGAUGGGCACCAGGGGCGCCUUGCACUUGCACGCCCGGCCGCAGUCCGGCCCCGACGGGCGCUGCCCGCUCAGCGGCGUCAGGUUUUUACCCGCGUCCUUGGCGGGGCGCGUGGGCUUCCCGGCGACGGGCGGUGA